CAUUUUAGCUUAGUUUCAUUUUUUACUUCGGAAGCCACAGUGCUUUCUACGAACGUCAAAUAGUCUUAUGAUUUGAAAAAUGAUUAUUUCAAGUUAAGUUGCAAAAAUAAAUUGAACAAUUGAAGAUACAUUUCGGUUUGAGAGUGAAUUGAAGUGCUGAGUUGCUCACAUUUGAAUUAAUUUCCAAUAUAAUUGAUAACUCAACAAUUAAAAAGAAUAAAAAUGGCGAAAUAUUUGUUUUUUGUUUUGGCUAUCAUCUCCAUUUGGAUGGUGACUAUUACAUAUGCAAAAGAGAUAAAGUGUCGGGAAGUCGGAGAAGAUUGUACUUACAAUCUACAAUGCUGUUCAGAAUUUUGUAAUGGUGCAGGAUUUUGCAUCGACUACCCAAUUAAAUAAUGUGACAAGCUUUGGGUGUGCUAGCCAAAGCAACCUCUCCUCUCAAAAUGACUAUGACGAUCAUAUACUGGUUAUAAUUCCUUUCUCAUAACAUCGGCAUCAUUUUCUAAUUUGUAACUUUUUUCCGAAAUUUCAAAAUAUACUAUUUGUAUUUUAUAAAUAAAACAUCUCACUUUGUACUAUGCAUGUAAAA